rnacentral:rRNA from 1 species
AUUGAACGCUGGCGGCAGGCUUAACACAUGCAAGUCGAGCGGGGUGAUGGUGCUUGCACUAUCACUUAGCGGCGGACGGGUGAGUAAUGCUUAGGAAUCUGCCUAUUAGUGGGGGACGACAUCUCGAAAGGGAUGCUAAUACCGCAUACGUCCUACGGGAGAAAGCAGGGGAUCACUUGUGACCUUGCGCUAAUAGAUGAGCCUAAGUCGGAUUAGCUAGUUGGUGGGUAGAGGCCUACCAAGGCGACGAUCUGUAGCGGGUCUGAGAGGAUGAUCCGCCACACUGGGACUGAGACACGGCCCAGACUCCUACGGGAGGCAGCAGUGGGGAAUAUUGGACAAUGGGGGGAGCCCUGAUCCAGCCAUGCCGCGUGUGUGAAGAAGGCUUUAUGGUUGUAAAGCACUUUAAGCGAGGAGGAGGCUCUUUUGGUUAAUACCCAAGAUGAGUGGACGUUACUCGCAGAAUAAGCACCGGCUAACUCUGUGCCAGCCGCCGCAGUAA